GUUGCCCAGAGAUGGUCACCCAAGAGGGGGGUGAAUUGGGUGUUUUAAGAUUUUUUGUCUAAUUAAAAAUAAAACACACAAGUGUAUGUGCUAAAGUAAAGAUAGAGGUAUAAGAAUAGUCAAUCGCAAACACAAGGUUUUAUAGUGGUUCGGAGCUUCCACUGCUCCUACAUCCACUCCCCAAACACCUUUGGGAAUUUCCACUAUAAUCAACGAUUACAGUACGGUAGUUUUGCGAGUGCACUACCCAACUCGUUGUUUUACACCGGAAUAACAACGAACCCUACAAUCCCCCAAUUUAACCUAGGCUUGGGACGCCUAUCCCUUGUUCCAAGUCCCUUGACUGGAACAAGCACAAUAAUCAAUGUUUUACAAAAGAUUUGAAAGCUCUUAAGAAGCAAAUAUAACAAUGAGAAAUAAUGAAACCCGGAAGAACCCUUUUAGCCGUUGGAAGCGUGGGAAAUGGUGGUUCUUCCGAUGUGGAUCGCGUUGGCUUGAAU
rnacentral:lncRNA from 1 species